rnacentral:rRNA from 1 species
UACCAGCACCCCGAGUGGUCGGGACGUUUAUUGGGCCUAAAGCAUCCGUAGCCGGUUCUACAAGUCUUCCGUUAAAUCCACCUGCUCAACAGAUGGGCUGCGGAAGAUACUAUGGAGCUAGGAGGCGGGAGAGGCAAGCGGUACUCGAUGGGUAGGGGUAAAAUCCGUUGAUCCAUGGAGGACCACCAAAAAAGGCGAAGGCAGCCAACUAUUCUAUUCCUGACACUGAGGCAUGAAAGCGUGGGGAGCAAACCGG